GGUGGGUUGCGCCGAAUUGGCAAGGCACUAGUCUUGAAAACUAGCGGGCAGCAAUGCCCUUAGAGGUUCGAGUCCUCUACCCACCG
rfam:Candidatus Portnoybacteria bacterium RIFCSPHIGHO2_12_FTLL_40_11 rifcsphigho2_12_scaffold_19174, whole genome shotgun sequence.